UUACGGGAGGCAGCAGUGGGGAAUAUUGGACAAUGGGCGAAAGCCUGAUCCAGCAAUGCCGCGUGAGUGAUGAAGGCCUUAGGGUUGUAAAGCUCUUUUACCAGGGAUGAUAAUGACAGUACCUGGAGAAUAAGCUCCGGCUAACUCCGUGCCAGCAGCCGCGGUAAUA
rnacentral:rRNA from 1 species